rnacentral:rRNA from 1 species
GACACGACUCUCGACAAUGGAUAUCUCGGCUCUCGCAUCGAUGAAGAGCGCAGCGAAAUGCGAUACUUG